rnacentral:lncRNA from 1 species
GAGUAAAGGAAAUUACAUUAUAUUACAUAAAUAAAUGAAGCUUUAAUUUUGUUCUCCAUAUUUCUCAACAGCUUUGCAGAUGGUAUUAAGAAACAGGGCAUCUGUGUCUCCCUGUGGAAAAACCCAGGCUCUUCUGGAACUGUGGGCUCCUUGUGUUGCUGUCAUGUAAUCAAGAAGCUAGAGGAUCUGCCCAUUAUCACAUUUCUAAUGUUGAAGUGGAGAUAUGAGGAUUUUGAAAGUUCCCAAUUGGAUGCCUCUAAAGGAAGUGAGGGCUCUUUCAAGUAAGAAAAACUCAUUUUAUAUUACCUUUUAAGCUAGCUGUUAUUAAUUUUCAAUUUUAUGCUAGAAAUUUGCAACUCACAAAAAGAAAGGAAAAAAGUUAAACCCUGAUUUUAAAUAUCAUUGUUCCCCAUUUUUCAUGUCUCAGUUACCACAUUUAAAAAGAAGAUGGCACCAUUUGUCCAAGGAAUCUCAUUACUGGGUAUAUGCCCAAAGGAAUAUAAAUCAUUCUAUUAUAAAGAUACAAGAUAAAAAGCAAGAAAGAAGAUGGCUAUACCUUUUGCUUUCAAAAGCAAUGACCAAUGAUCUAAAACCAUGUAAAUAAGAGCAGUAGCAAUCUGGAGAAAGAAUUAUUAAAGAACAAUCAGAGGGAAAUUCAGCAGUAUCUGGAGACAUUUUUGGUUGUCAAGACCAGUGGGGUCCUUCUGGCAUCUACUGGAUAGAAGCCAUGGAAGCUACUAAACAUCCUACAAUGCACAGGAAUCCCACAAAAAGAACUGUCUAGCUCAAGAGGUCAGUGGCUCUGAGGUUGAAAAACUCUGCUCCAGCCAUAUCUGCCUCUAAUCCAUUCUCUACACAUCACCAGAGUGAUACAAAAUACAACUCCCA